GCAAGUCGAGCGAGGCCUGGGGGGCAACUCCCAGAGUCGAGCGGCGGACGGGUGAGUAACACGUGGGUAACCUGCCCGGAAGUGGGGAAUACCUCGGGGAAACUCGAGCUAAUACCGCAUGACAUCUUCGGGACGAGAGUCCUGAUGAUCAAAGCGGGGUCGCAAGAUCUCGCGCUACCGGAUGGGCCCGCGCCCGAUUAGCUAGUUGGUGAGGUAACGGCUCACCAAGGCUUCGAUCGGUAACCGGCCUGAGAGGGCGAUCGGUCACACCGGAACUGAGACACGGCCCGGACUCCUACGGGAGGCAGCAGUGGGGAAUCUUGCGCAAUGGGCGAAAGCCUGACGCAGCAACGCCGCGUGGAGGAUGAAGGCCCUUGGGUUGUAAACUCCUGUCGGCUGGGAAGAAAUCGUACGGUGCUCAUACCACCGUGCGUUGACUGUACCAGCAAAGGAAGCCCCGGCUAACUCUGUGCCAGCAGCCGCGGUAAUACAGAGGGGGCCAGCGUUAUUCGGAAUUAUUGGGCGUAAAGGGCGCGUAGGCGGCCUUGCGUGUCUUCCGUGAAAUCCCUCGGCUCAACUGAGGACGUGCGGAAGAAACUGCAGGGCUCGAGUCCGGGAGAGGGGGGUGGA
rnacentral:rRNA from 1 species